rnacentral:rRNA from 1 species
GACGAACGCUGGCGGCGUGCUUAACACAUGCAAGUCGAACGGAAAGGCCCUGCUUGCAGGGUACUCGAGUGGCGAACGGGUGAGUAACACGUGGGUGAUCUGCCCGGCACUUGGGGUUAAGCCGGGGAAACUGGUUCUAUUACCGGUUAGGAGCCUUUUUUGGUGGGUGGGUUGGAAAGUUUUUUCGGUGUAGGUUGAGCUCGCGGCCUAUCAGCUUGUUGGUGGGGUAAUGGCCUACCAAGGCGGCGACGGGUAGCCGGCCUGAGAGGGUGGACGGCCACAUUGGGACUGAGAUACGGCCCAGACUCCUACGGGAGGCAGCAGUGGGGAAUAUUGCACAAUGGGCGCAAGCCUGAUGCAGCGACGCCGCGUGGGGGAUGACGGCCUUCGGGUUGUAAACUCCUUUCGCUAGGGACGAAGCUUUUUGUGACGGUACCUAGAUAAGAAGCACCGGCUAACUACGUG